UACGAAGGGGGCUAGCGUUGUUCGGAUUUACUGGGCGUAAAGCGCACGUAGGCGGAUUGUUUAGUCGGGGGUGAAAUCCCGGGGCUCAACCUCGGAACUGCCUUUGAUACUGCAGAUCUCGAGUCCGGAAGAGGUGAGUGGAAUUCCUAGUGUAGAGGUGAAAUUCGUAGAUAUUAGGAAGAACACCAGUGGAGAAGGUGGCUCACUGGUACGGUACUGACGCUGAGGUGCGAAAGCGUGGGGAGCAAACAGG
rnacentral:rRNA from 1 species